UUGCAGGGAGACCAAAAGAAUCAGGAGCUUGCUCACCUCUUUGAUAAGACAUACUUUUUGGGAUUGCUAGCUGUUCAGAUUGUAUGUAGGCAUUUCUAGACACACAUUGUUCAGAUAAGACAGAGCCUCCAUAUCCUCAUUGUAUAGAAAACCCUAUUCCAGCAUCUUGAAUGACUGGAGGAUAACCCAAAUAUAGUCAUUAAACGUAAGGAUUGCAUCAAUGGCUCCAAUACAUUUGUUGAUAGUCAACAGACUUUUUGCUUUUCCAUAUUACAGCUUUUCUCUUGUCAUUAUUCUAAUGCAAGUGGUAUUUGACAACAUAUGUACUGACAUUGUCUCCAUUAUAUGUAAUUCAACUGUUCACUGGCACUUACAUAGCAGCAUUUUCAAAUUAAGCUCUUUCCUGAGUUAUUGAAAUUGAUGAAUUUAGCAGCAUUUUCAAAUUACCAAUUUGCAAAAAAACUGUUCCUGCUCCAUAUAAAUUAAUUGUAGUUAUGCAUUGAUAUAAUCCACUUGGAUCAGAAAAAACUAUGA